rnacentral:lncRNA from 1 species
AUGGGAUGGAGCCGAGCACAAGCGCUCCCGCUCCCGUGGAAGAGGCAGCGAACUGCUGGGGCGCCCCCCCCAUCGCCCCUGGGGAAUGGGACCCAAUGGGAGCUGCCCCCGCUGCUCCCGCCCUGGAGGACCGACGGGCCGCCCCGCGCCGCCCUGGGGGUGGGACCCGGCUGCUCCCACGUGGAGGACCGACGGGCCGCCCCGCGCCGCCCUGGGGUGGGACCCGGCUGCCCCCGCGUGGAGGACCGACCGGCCGCCCCGCGCCGCCCUGGGGUGGGACCCGGCUGCCCCCGCUGCUCCCACGUGGAUGGGGUGGGACCCGGCUGCCCCCGCUGCUCCCGCCGUGGAGGACCGACGGGCCGCCCCGCGCCGCCCUGGGGGUGGGACCCGGCUGCCCCCGCUGCUCCCGCGUGGAGGACCGACGGGCCGCCCCGCGCCGCCCUGGGGUGGGACCCGGCUGCCCCCGCUGCUCCCGCGUGGAGGACCGACGGUGGCCCAGAUGCUCCCGCACGGGGUGGGGGUGGGGGCGGGGGGGCCGCCGGGCCGAGCCCCCAGCUAGGGCCGCAGUCGGGCGCCCGGCGCCGCUCGCAGAGGAUGCCCGGGACCCCUCCGCCAGGCAAAGGAGUCCCCGCUCCCUCUCCCUUCUCCGCUGUAGAAAGGCCCUGGCGCCGCCUCCCCAGCCGUGCUCCUUCACCUCAGAGACGUCUCCCCGCCUCCCAGACUCCGCGGCCGAGGGAAGCCGCCCACUCUCCUUUUCCACACUGUGCCAUCUUCUCCCGCAAAACGUGCGCUCGGCCCCGGCUGUGUCCCUCCGCCCCCUCCUCGCUUCUCAAGUCCCCCGGCGGCGAGUGGCCGCGCCGCGCCGCGCGCUCUCGCGAGAGUCCGCCACACGGAAGCCCCGCGCCCGCGAGGAGGCCUCCCGGGACCCCGCGGCGCGCGGUGGCGGGCGGCGCAUGCGUGGCCGCGGCUCCCAGCGCCCCCCGCGCAGCCAGCGGGCGGGGCGGAGCGGAGCGGACCGGGCUGCGCGCGCGCGGGGCCGACCGCCUUCCCCUGCGAGGCCUCGCUGGGUCCCCGUGGCCGGGCUGCCCUCGGGGGCGGUACCGCCCGGCGGCUCCCGUCGGCGUGCGGAGGUGUCCGCGGACGGACGGCCCGGACCGCCCUGGCCCCGGAAGAGCCUGGCGCCGGCCUCGGACGCCGCGGGCCCGACCGGCCACCCGCAGCGGCCUGGACGCGCCGCCGGGGCCGAGCCUCGCACCCCGCACCCCGCAGCCCGCACCCCGCACCCCGCAGCCCGCAGCCCGGGCGGGGCCUGCACGUCCGGCCCCAUCCACCCGGGGCCUCGCCUCCCCGGAGCCCAGCCCCCUCCCGGCCCGGCUGUCCAGCCCCCGCCCACCGCUUCUUUUCAGUCCCCUUGAAAUCUCUCCCGGUCCCCUGGCCUCGGUCUUGCGGACGUUGCACUAA